rnacentral:lncRNA from 1 species
CACGGCAGGAUCUGGCGGUGCUGCAAGACAAGCUGCGGAUCUCCACCAAGAAGCUGGAGGAGUACGAGACCCUGUUCAAGUGCCAGGAGGAGACGACGCAGAAGCUGGUGCUCGAGUACCAGGCUCGGCUGGAGGAGGGCGAGGAGCGGCUGCGGCGGCAGCAGGAAGACAAGGACGUCCAGAUGAAGGGCAUCAUCAGCAGGUUGAUGUCUGUGGAGGAGGAACUGAAGAAGGAUCACGCUGAGAUGCAAGCGGCCGUAGACUCCAAACAGAAGAUCAUCGAUGCCCAGGAAAAGCGCAUUGCCUCGCUGGACGCUGCCAAUGCCCGCCUCAUGAGUGCCCUCACACAGCUGAAAGAGAGGUACAGCAUGCGAGCCCGUAACGGCGUCUCCCCCACCAACCCCACCAAAUUGCAGAUUACUGAGAACGGCGAGUUCAGAAACAGCAGCAAUUGUUAACCUGCCUGAGGAGAGGGGACUGUGGUGGCCCAGGCAGGGUCUCGGUCAGGAGGCUCCCCACAGUUGCAGACUAGCCUGCAGUGGAGGGGGCGCAGGACUGAUGGAGCGUGAGACUGAGGGCACAGUGCCCCCCCACCUGAAGUGGGUGUGGGUAGAGGCAGUAGAGACUGCGCUGGGGAGUGGGGACAGCCUGCAGAGAGGUCUGCCUGCCAACUGUGUCUCUGGUUGUUGGAUUUGGUAUGUGGCACCUUUUCCUCUUUGACCAGCCAGCCAGGUGCAUGUACCCCUUACC